ACGAACGUUGGGCGCGUGGGAUUAGGCAUGCAAGUUCGAACGAAGACACCCUGUUGUAGCAAUACAUGGGGUGGGACUGAGUGGCGAAAGGGGCAGUAAUGCGUGGGUAAACCUACCUCGGGGAUGGGCAUAGCCGGUCUAAACGGCCCGGGGUAAUUCCCAGCGAUUUGGCGAGGCCGGCAUCGUUUUUGCCAAAGAAAUGAGUUUCGCCUCGGGAGGGGCCUCACGUCCGUAUUAGCUUGUUGGUGGGGUAAACGGCCCACCAAGGCAAAGAUGCGUAGCGGGUGUGAGAGCAACGACCCCCGCGCCACUGGCACUGAGACAACUGGCCAGACACCUAACGGGGUGGCUGCAGUCGAGGAAUCUUCGGCAAUGGGCGCAAAGCCUGACCGAGCCGACGCCGCGUGUUGCGAUGGAGGCCCCCUUUCGGGUUGUAAAGCACUGUCGAGGGGGAUAAAAUAUAUAAACCGCAAGGUUUGAUAGAUCCCUGGAGGAAGCAACGGGCUAAGUUUCGUGCCAGCAGCCGCGGGUAAAGACGAACCGUGCGAACGUUUGUUCGGAAUCACUGGGCUUUAAAGGGCGCGUAGGCGGUUUGCCAAGUUCAGGGGUGAAAAUCCUGCAGACUCAACUGUAGAAGUGCCCUUUUGAUACUGGCGAACUCGGAGGGAGGUAGGGGGUGCGUUGGAACUUUCUGGUGGAGGCGGUGAAAAUGCGUUUGAUAUCAGAAGGAAACGCCGGUGGCGGAAAGCGACGCACUGGACCUUUUCUAAACGCUGAGGCGCGAAAGCCUAGGGGAGCAAACGGGAUUAGAAUACCCCGGUAGUCCUAGCCCUAAACGAUGGGUACUAGAUUGUAGGACUGAUCAUGGGUUUUACAGUCGAAGCAAAAGUGCUAAGUUACCCCGCCUGGGGGAGUAUGGUCGCAAGGCUUGAAACUCAAAGGAAUUGACGGGGGGCUCACACAAAGCGGUGUGGAGCAUGUGGCUUAAUUCGAGGCUACGCGAAAGAAAACCUUAUCCUAGGCUUUGACAUGUGCGAAAAAGCGCCUGGGAAGUAGGAAAACCCGAAAGGGCAACCAACGGUAUCCCAGUCCGGAACCCAGUACAGGUUGCUGCAUGGCUGUCGUCAGCCUCGUGUCGUGAGAAUGUCGGGUUAAGUCCCCAUAACGAGCGAAAAACCCUUGCUUCCAGUUGCCAGCGGGUCAUGCCGGGGACUCUGGAAGGACUGCCGGUGUUUAAAACCGGAGGAAGGCGGGGAUGACGUUCAAGUCCUCAUGGCCUUUUAUGCCUAGGGCUGCACCACGUUGCUACAAUGCCACGAAACAAAGGGACGCCAACGCGCAAGGCGGGAGCAAAUCCAAAAAAAACGUGGCCCCCCAGUUUCAGAUCGAAGGCUGGCAACUCGCCUUCGUGAAGCCGGAAUCGCUAGUAAUCGCAGGUCAGCAACACUGCGGUGAAUGUGUUUCCUGAGCCUUGUACACACCGCCCGUCAAGCCACGAAAAGGGUGGAGCGCCCGAAGUCGUCUUCACAGACGCGACCGAAGGGCGAAACACCUGAUUGGGACU
rnacentral:rRNA from 1 species